CCAGUAUUCCUUUAAUUUGGUUGGUUUAGUUAAUGGGCCCAAACUUUCUGGGCCGUGGGCCAUUUAGCUCUGUUCAUCAACUAAAAAAAUAAAAAAAAAUACCAAAUCUAAAACUCUACGCAAAUUCGAAAUGCCACCAUGAUCAUGAGACGAUCUCUGCUCAGAAGUGUCUCUGUUUGCACUCAAAAUCUUCUUCACUCUUCUUCCAAUGUCCAUCCAUAAAUUCCUAAUCCCUCACUACCCAAUUCUACUCGAUCCUCUAUCCGGCUUUGCUCGUCCGGUGAGAACCCGAUCACAUCAUCCCUGAAUCAUCGCUGCUCGCACAACUCAGAGAAGGAUGAUUCUGUCCAGGUUAAGGAUGUCAGUAACAAAGGACACAAAUGGGGUACUUUCUGUGUGCGCUUAUUAAUGUGAAAUGAGGCUACAACGGUCAACCGAUCAUGGGAGCUGCGAUUUAGAGAGAAAUUGUACUAUUUUUGCUUUAUUUGGGAAAUUUUUUUGACACAUCUUUGAAUUUAUAUUAUUCAUGUGGCUCUGCUUCUGAAUCAUCUUUAUUUCAAUCUGCAAUUUUUAUUGCAUGGUUUUGGUAAAAAUCUGUUUUGGUUACAUUUUAAGGUUAAAAUUAAGCUAGUAUUGGCGAAGGACAAAAUAAUUUUUGAACAUGGUUGUGAUCACUUGUUUUGAUAGAAUAAGAAUAUUCUAAUGGAUAAGUACAUCAUUUUGAUAGAAUAAGAAUAUUCUAAUGGAUAAGUACAUCAAGGGGGAUAAGGAGGUGCUUCCUUCAAUUAUGGAAGCAAUCUUACACCGGAGGUUGAUAGGCAAGCAUGAGGAGACAGAUGAUGAAUUGAUCGAAGAACUCAAUAUGAAGCCACUGGAUGAUGUGAGAGACAGAAUUUGAAUCAGAUUUUCUGGAGCUGUAUUAGACUGAUGAGGAGAUUGAUGAUUUGUAUGAUGCCAAGGAAUAUGUCAUGAAGGAAGCGGUGAAGGAUGAGUACUUCAACAUGGAUAACAAGAAAUGGGAGGAGAUUGAUGAUUUGUAUAAUGCCCUGAUGACCGCUGCUCCACCAAUUGUUAUGUUGUAUUUUUAGGUCGAAAUUGAUUUCCUGGACAGCGAAGAAAAAACCUACCAUAGCUCGAUCCUAUACUGAAAGUGAGUACCAGGCACUUGCCAAUGCUAUUUCUGAAUUAAUGUGGGUCAAAUCUUUACUUGGUGAGCUGGGCUUCACUUCUACUGCUCCCGCUACUCUAUGGUGUGAUAAUAUAUAUUUGAGCAAAUAUAUUUAACAUCCAAUCCUGUUUUCAUGCUUGGACUAAGCACAUAGAAUUGGACUGUCACUUUGUUCGGGAACUGAUUACUCAAGGCAAGCUUCGUGUCAACUUCAUCUCAAGCCAAGAUCAAUUGGCUGACAUUUUCGCUAACCCGUUUGGCACAUGGUUAUUCGAACAUCAAAGGGACAAGCUGCGUCUCAUGACAGCCGAGACAACAGCUUGAGAGGAGCUGUUAAGGAUAUACUACCUGUAACAAUAUCUGUUACCUUUAUCUUUCCUUGUAACCAUCUGUUAGCCUUAGUUUAUCUUGUAAAUCAUUGUUAUCAUCAUCUGUAAACUUCUAUAUAUUGUAAAUCUCUUAUACAGCAAUACAAUCAAGAAUCAAUUUCACUCAAAUAA